CUGGGUUGUAAAAAAAGCUUUCAACUCUUUAUUUUAUAGGCCCUUUGCAGCCAUGCACAGAAAACAAGGACAGCAACCUUUUUCUGCACUAUCACUGAGGGCAGGUUCUUCCAUCUCCUCCACCUCUCCUCUCUCAUAGAGCUUCCUUCCAUGGUUUAGGAUUGUAAACUUUCCUACCUAUUUGAGAAGUCAGAGCAAUGACCAGUUUAUCUCAUCUUUAUUUUGCAUGACAUAUGAAUAACUAAGAACCAUGAACAGUUUACUUAAAUCAACAAAUGAAACUAGUUUGAUCAUGCACUUAACGGUACAAAUUAUACAUACCACAUACUAUGGGAUGGGACGUGUCCCUAUUAGAAUAUAUCUUCUCUUUGCAUAGAAUUAGAGUUCAUUGUUUUAUUUGUAUCACUAAACUUGACUUUUUGACUUCAACCGCAAAAACAUUUGAAUUAGUUUCCAUAUCGAUCUAACGCUGUGAAGGCUGCCUGCAAUCUUAGUGAAAGGAGCACUGUCAUAUAGGGUAAAUGUCACCCACGAACAUAAACUGCUUUUCUUCUGCUUCUUUGGGUUUUAUUUUUGAGGCAAGAGUAAACCACAACACAAGAAAAUACCUGGGAAAACUGUAGCACGAGUUUCAGAAAAAGGAUUCCUUUCACAGCAUAAAAAUGUUUUUCGUUUGUGAGAACGAUUGAAUUUAUGUAGUUUCCCACAGAUUACGCACACCUUCCACCUGUGAUGUAAACCUUGAAACGUAAGAUUGGCAGAUGCUGCUUCUCGUUUGCGAUCACUGAGCAAACUAACACAAAUACUGCUUGGCGUCUUUGAGAGACGGGCACGCAUAUUUACAGUAUAAUUAUUAAGGAUUUGGUUCCUGUGGUUCCUCUGCAAUGCUGGCUUCAUCUUUCUCCACAAGGUGUCAUAAAGAGUUGCUCAGGAAAGAAUACAAGUUCAGAAGAUGUAAAAAGAAUGUGUUUACUAGAUUCUUCCACCUGAAUAGCUUAGCAUCAAGAAGUCUUUUCCUAGGUCUCAUUCACUGGUAAGUGCUCAAUAAGCAUCAUUGAUGAAUUGAGCAGUAAUUCUGCUCCAGCGUCCAGUGCUUUCACCUGUCACAGGUUAAAGAGAAUGGAAUUGGCCACUCAACAAAGCAGCAAACACCCCCAAGGUCCUAAGUAAAAUGCUGUUAUUGAUUCAGUAGGUAGCUCAUCUUUCUACAGUUCAAUAUCUUUAACUAGCAUUUCAGUCCAAUAUUUUUAAGUAACAUAUCUUUUCUUUGCUUUUUUUCCUUCAGGGUAAGAAGAAAUUGUUUCCCUUAUAAUUUAAUAUGGCUGCGUUAAAAAUUGAAACAAUUAGAUGUAAAAGGAAAUAUUCUAACAGUUUAGGUAUGUGCUGGUAUAUUUGCCUAUUUGAUUCCUUUCUUCCUUUUUAUUCCCCAAUGUUAUGACUAUAACUGGUAUAAUUGUUUUCUUUUUGUUGAGUUGACCAUUUGAUGGAAUUCUCUUUUUCUUUUGAACUUUGGCUGUGCUUGUGAUCUGUAACAUAAGUGGAAUCCUAGAGAAGCAUAGAAAUUUGGAGUUUACUUAGUUUGAAACCUCACUCCCUAAGCAAGAAUUCCCUCUACAGCAUUUUUGAAAAUGUUCUUUGUGCUCUAUUGAACUCUUCCAACAUGGUGGUUCUCAUUUUUUCAAAGGACAGCCAAUUUCAGAUUUUUAUAUCCUUUCUUAUUAUGAGCCCAAGUCUCCCUCCUGUAUCUUUCCUCUACCCCCACUCCAUUGUUCCCAGUUUGGUGCUCUAAAACAUGCAGAAUGUGUUUAUUUCAUCUCCCCUAUGACAGCUAUUUCAGAUAUAUGAAAUUAGCUCUAUUUGGACUCUUUCUCAGUUAAGACAUCAGUAAUUCUUUCAGCUACUCUUCUCACCUCAUAGUUUUCAAUAUUUAAGAAUCCAGGUUAUUUUCUAAUGUUCAUAAGGUAGUUCUCAUUGUCAAUCUCUUCCAUGUGUAGUUUUAGGUGACUUUUUUACUCUAAUUCUUAGUAAAGUUGUCACAGACAGUCUCUGUGUCUUGUCUUUGGUAAAAUUCACUUGAGGGUCUAGCACAGAUUAUGUCUUUUUAUUUAAAAAUUUUUUUUAUUGAGCUCAUAAUAGUUUAUAACUGUGAAAUUUCAGUUGUACAUUAUUAUUUGUCUGUCACCAUACAUAUGUGCCCCUUUACCCCUUAAGCCCACCCUACAACCCCUUUCCUCUCCAGUGAAAACUAGUCUGAUCUCUUUGUCUGUGUAUUUGUUUAUCUUCCACAUAUGGAAAUCAUACGGUGUUUGUCUUUCUCUGUCUAGCUUAUGUCACUUAACAUAAUACCCUCAAGUUCCAUCCAUGUUAUUGCAAAUGGGAUGGUUUUUGUCUUUUUUAUGACUGAGUAAUAUUCCAUUGUGGAAUAUAUAUAUGUAUAUAUAUAUACAUACCACGUCUUCUUUAUCCACUCAUCAGUCAAUGGGCACUUGGGUUGCUUCUGCGUCUUGGCUAUUGUGAAUAAUGCUGCAAUGAACAUUGUAUAGGGGUGCAUAAGUCUCUUUGAAUUGUUGAUUUCAAGUUCUUUGGGUAAAUACCCAGUAGUGGAAUAGCUGGGUUACAUGGUAUUUUGACUUUUAAUUUUUUGAGAAUUCUCCAUACUGUUUUCCAUAGUGGCUGCACCAGUUUGCAUUCCCACCCAGAUUGUGUCUUCUACACACAAGUAAGUUCAAAACAAAUAUUUUUUUUAAAAAAUAAAGUAUU
rnacentral:lncRNA from 1 species